GUCUAUCUGGCGUAUCUUCUCGUUGUCAAAGCCGAUGCAUACCACACUUUCAAUGUCAUGACGGCGGGAUCCUGGCCGAGAUCACAGUUAUACCAAAGAUACGCUGUUGAAGCAUGUAAUUAAAUACCUUCAACGUCACGACAGCUCUUCGUUCAUAUGCUGAUGAGAUUCUGCCGAAGUGUGCAUCAUCAACAGUAUCUGCUCCCGAGUGCACGCCAUCUUGAGAAUCCUGGAGCGAUGACGAUCCAAAACGGAUGGAUGCCAUACAUUAUGUCCGUCUAUCUGGCAUAUCUUCUCGUUGUCAAAGCUGAUGCAUACCACACUUUCAACGUCACAACAGCUCUUCGUUCAUAUGCUGAUGAGAUUCUGCCGAAGUGUGCAUCAUCAACAGUAGCUGCUCCCGAGUGCACGCCAUCUUGAGAAUCCUGGAGCGAUGACGAUCCAAAACGGAUGGAUGCCAUACAUUAUGUCCGUCUAUCUGGCGUAUCUUCUCGUUGUCAAAGCCGAUGCAUACCACACUUUCAAUGUCACGACGGCGGGCUCCUGGCUGACAUCACAGUUAUACCAAAGAUUCGCUGUUGAAGCAUGUAAUUAAACACCUUCAACGUCACGACAGCUCUUCGUUCAUAGUAUGCUGAUGAGAUUCUGCCGAAGUGUGCAUCAUCAACAGUAGCAGCUCCCAAGUGCACGCAUGUAAUUAAACACCUUCAACGUCACGACAGCUCUUCGUUCAUAUGCUGAUGAUAAUCUGCCGAAGUGUGCUCCCGAGUGCACGCCAUCUUGAGAAUCCUGGAGCAAUGACGAUCCAAAACGGAUGGAUGCCAUACAUUGUAUUUAUCGGUUGGACUGUGGCGGAGUUUACUCGAGAACCUAUCAUCCGAAUGGCCGCUGACAUAAGAGAACUUAACACGUAACGUGCGGACGGUUCCUGAUAUUCUUGAUGGUGGAUGGUUCCUGACAUUCUUGAUGGUGGCACCAGUUGUUUUCAAUAUGUGGGAUGGCUGCUGACAUAGGAGAACGUAACGUGCGGACGGUUCCUGACAUGCUUGAUGGUGGCACCAGUUGUUUUCAAUAUGUCGGAUGGCUGCUGACAUAGGAGAACGUAACGUGCGGACGGUUCCUGACAUUCUUGAUGGUGGCACCAGUUAUUUUCAAUAUUUCGGAUGGCUGCUGACAUAGGGGAACGUAACGUGCGGACGGUUCCUGACAUUCUUGAUGGUGGCACCAGUUGUUUUCAAUAUGUCGGAUGGCUGCUGACAUAGGAGAACGUAAACGUGCGGACGGUUCCUGACAUUCUUGAUGGUGGCACCAGUUGUUUUCAGUAUGUAUGCGUCUGGGAAGUUUAAAAUUUAGUGUGAGUGGACAGAAUUUUUUCAAACCCUGAACAUUGUUGAUCUUUUUACCUUGUGGGAAUGAUAUUGCUUUACGGCAGUCUAUUGGAUUAGUG